UACAGAGGUCUCAAGCGUUGUUCGGAUUCAUUGGGCGUAAAGCGCGCGUAGGUGGCCUCGUAAGUCCGCUGUGAAAGUCAAAGGCUCAACCUUUGAAAGCCGGUGGAUACUGUGAGGCUAGAGUACGGAAGAGGCGAGUGGAAUUCCUGGUGUAGCGGUGGAAUGCGCAGAUAUCAGGAGGAACACCAAUAGCGAAGGCAGCUCGCUGGGACGUUACUGACACUGAGGCGCGAAAGCGUGGGGAGCGAACAGG
rnacentral:rRNA from 1 species